GCAAGUGUUCUUCGGAAUUACUGGGCGUAAAGGGCACGUAGGCGGUGAAUCGGGUUGAAAGUGAAAGUCGCCAAAAAGUGGCGGAAUGCUCUCGAAACCAAUUCACUUGAGUGAGACAGAGGAGAGUGGAAUUUCGUGUGUAGGGGUGAAAUGCGUAGAUAUCAGGAGGAACACCGGUGGUGUAGACGGCUCUCUGGACCGUAACUGACGCUGAGACACGAAUGCGUGGGGAGCGAACAGG
rnacentral:rRNA from 1 species